AGGGACCUACUGGACAAAAAACUGGAGGGCAUUUUUAAGAAUAACGGGAUAGGGGAAUAUGCCCGAUUCCGUCUUUUUUCUAUUUUGGGCAGCCUAUGGGGCUCCCGUUCUUGCUUUUUAUCGAUUGGAAAUUUGGGACGGUGGGACCACCAAUUCGCCCCGCUUUUUUGACGACGUCGACUCUCGCACCUUCUCACCAACCUGUGGGGCCCGAAUCAUGUGAAGCUUGUGAGCAAACCAAUAGCAUCGUGCCACCAUGAUGACAAU
rnacentral:lncRNA from 1 species